UCCUUAAAGGGGACGUGGAACCGUGUGUGGAGAAAGACGAGACAAGCGGGAUGCUCGAGAGACAGUGAUAGUUAAAGUUAUUUGUUUUAGAAUUUACAGCCAAGUUUUGUGCCAUGGCUUUUCGAUAAGAGAGACCAUUCUGAGUGGGUGAUUAGUGUGAAAAGACAAUAGUUCAAAAGUGGAGCCGUGGACUGUGCGUUUGGCGCUAACUACUAGCAUAUUGAGCUUGAAGCUAAACAACCUGCCUAAAAGACUGCGCUGGAUGUCGCCCACGCGGGGGAUCACGGAACUCGCAGUGUGUCGUGUCCGAACUGGACCAUGAGACAGACAGACACCAGAUAGCACUCUUGAGUGGCUACCUGGGAGACGGAGAAGAGAGGUUUUGGACCUGAAGGUACCACGCACCUGUUCCGCCUUUGAAGUCACGCUGAAACCUGCGAGCUUUGUUGACACGUACUUUUAACCCAUUGGACACCAGUGUUCAUUUUGUUGACGAAACAUUUUCGUCAUAGUUAUUCGUCAACGACCCCUUUUUUCUGACUGAAACGAGACAAUAACUAAAUAACAAAUAAUUUACGUGGACUAAAACGACGACGAGGUGUAUUGACAUAUUCGUCAACGAAUAAAAACGAGGCGAAAAUGUCUGCCAGAGACGAGAUCCAAUCGGAAGUCAUUUCGUUAAGAAGAGGCGGGAGGAGUUGGGAAGAGAACCAAUCAGAGCGACGUAGUAAGGAAGUGACGUAAAGGUAGUUUGCGUUUGAGACUGACCCGGGAAUGCGCUGCAGAAGACAACAUGGCAACGCCGGGGAGGAAGAGGAGAGGACAUAUGGGGACAUUUAUUUGACGUCAAAGAUAACAAGACGCAGUGUAAGAACUGCAGCGCGAGGAUUACGAGAAAAAACACAACAAACUUGAAGCGACAUUUACAGUCCAAUCACGCCGAAAACCACACCCAGAGUCCUCCAGGUACUCGCGGCAGAGAUUAAAGACACAGUGACGAGGAUUGAUGAGGCCUUUUGAAAAGACAGAAUGCAAAUGACUUCCUUUUCUAACCAGCUUAAUUGCAGCUGUUAUCUGAUGUAAAUUCACCAAGACGUCUCCGUGGAGUUAUUGAGUCUGAUGAACUGGCUUCCUCAUCUAGUGGGUCCGUGACGAUGAUUUCUGUUUUGUUUCAUCAACUGUUUUACAGACACCGUUUGGAAACAAUAAAGCUCAAAAAGGCAGCUGUGAUCUUGGCUCUUCGGCUUGUCUCAGAGACACUGGCGUUCACCGCAGCCAUCUGACUUUCAGCAGGGGGAGCAAUUGUCAUAAAUAUAACGAGACAAAACAACAGAAUGGAAUAAGAUGCAGAGAGUAGAAGAAGAGGAGCUAAAGGUGUCCUUCAGUCGUCAACGCUGGACAGACAUUACCCUGACUAACCUCAGCGUAAAGCAACAAACCCCACGUGGAGAAGAAGACGGUCGGCCAUCAUCAUCAUCUAUCCGGGAGCGGAGCGCAUGGCGAUGGUGUUGCCAUGGCGACGAGCCUCCGACUCGUGGAAGUGGGCGUAUGAGUGUGAAUCAGCUCCCCGUACCUGACUGUAAUCUUCACCGUCUGACUAUGUUCUGACCCUGCCAGUGUUUAUUUGCGGCGAGGGCGACCAUGCAGAGCCAAUCGCCUGGCAAGGCCGCGCAUUUCGAGCAGAGGAGUUGCAGGCCGGGCGAGGCUAUCUAGUCGUGCACAUUCAGCUGGA